rnacentral:rRNA from 1 species
UACGUAGGGGGCGAGCGUUGUCCGGAUUCAUUGGGCGUAAAGCGCGCGCAGGCGGCUCAGAGAGCCCGGCGUGAAAGCCCCCCGGCUCAACCGGGGGAGGUCGUCGGGGACCUGUGGGCUAGAGGCCGGUAGGGGCGAGGUGGAAUUCCCGGUGUAGUGGUGGAAUGCGUAGAGAUCGGGAGGAACACCAGUGGCGAAGGC